CUCUCCAUUUAUAGAUGGUGAAGCCAAGGCCUGAAGACCUUUCCUGCAAGGUCGCAGAGGAAGAGGCAGAAGAAGGACCAGAACCCAGCUCCCCUGACUCCCUAUCCAGUGCUCUUCUCAUAGAUUACAUUGCUUCAGCAUCCACCUGGCUAUUGCUCCAUCCAGGGGUUACAGGAGUCACUGACUGUUUUGGUUGCUUCUUGGUUGGAGGAUGUUGUGCCUCACCGAUGAGAGCCGGAAGCAAAGGUACCAGUUCUUAGAGGAAGCAUAGGAAUGUGUCCCUUCCUGCUCGGGUCUCUCAACUGAACUCAACCCUUCCUUGAUUGAUUGACAAGCAUGUUAUCUCUCAUAAUCCCUGCCCGGUAAGGGCUGAUGUCCCCAUUUUACAGAUGAGGAUAUUGGAGCUCAGAGAAGUGAAAUGAUUGCUGAAGGUCACACAGCCUGGCUUCAAGCCUCUCGGGCUCCAAAAGGCAUCUUCUGUUCUCUCCGUCAGGAAGCCUCUUUUGGAUGAUUAACUGAGAUUAAAAAUGAAAAGACACAUGAAAGAAAGGUCCUUUUU
rnacentral:lncRNA from 10 species